rnacentral:rRNA from 1 species
UACGUAGGGGGCAAGCGUUGUCCGGAUUUAUUGGGCGUAAAGAGCGUGUAGGCGGCCAGGUAGGUCUGGUGUGAAAACUCGAGGCUUAACCUCGAGAUGUCAUCGGAAACCAUCUGGCUAGAGUCCGGAAGAGGAGUGUGGAAUUCCCGGUGUAGCGGUGAAAUGCGCAGAUAUCGGGAAGAACACCCGUGGCGAAGGCGGCACUCUGGGACGGUACUGACGCUGAGACGCGAAAGCGUGGGGAGCGAACAGG